rnacentral:rRNA from 1 species
UACGAAGGGUGCAAACGUUGCUCGGAAUCAUUGGGCGUAAAGCGCACGUAGGCGGCCCCAUAAGUCGGAUGUGAAAUCCCUCGGCUCAACCGAGGACGUGCAUUCGAAACUGCGGGGCUCGAGUAUGGAAGAGGGUCGCAGAAUUCCCGGUGUAGAGGUGAAAUUCGUAGAUAUCGGGAGGAAUACCAGUGGCGAAGGCGGCGACCUGGGCCAAUACUGACGCUGAGGUGCGAAAGCGUGGGGAGCAAACAGG